CUCUCUCUGCAACAGUGUUCUGGCCAAGGGUUAUUUAGCUCUGGCUUCUGAGGCUCCCUCCAAUACAUGAACCUUACCGCUUUCUAUAGGUCCAAGAGCACCAGAUCCUCUGGGUCCCUGCGAGAUGGGAUGCCAUUCCAGCAAGGUCUCCGAGGUGGUCGUGGAGUCCCAGAAACCCGGAGGUCACCCUGAGGGAGGAGAGCCAAAGGUGGAUCCUGGCACCGAGGCAGCGGAUGCUACGGACACCUCAAUGAAGCAAGGCGCCCCUGAGUUGAAGAGCUGACCCUCUUUCUGGAGCGGACCCUCGCCUCUUCCCUGGAAUUGCCUUUGACCUGUGAGGUCCCACUGUGAGGAGCUAUCCUUGGAGGGUGGAGAAACCCCUGGUUAGGAUAUGACCUUCAGCAGGGCUUGCUCUCUGGCCUUGGGCAGAUGAGGGUGAGGCUUUGAUACAAUUCUAUUUCUCUAGCAUCCAGCAAAGAGGACAAAAGAUUGCUUCAUUCUUCUUGGGCCUUUCCCACAGCUUCUGCAAAGAGAAAAACAUGUGGAUUGACUCUUCUGGUCCAGACGAUAUGCUUCUGGCUGUGACUGUCAGUCACAGCCGACUGAACAGCCAGCAUCCCUGACAGGAAGCUUUUGCAUCUGGCUCUCUUCAUGUUGUUUACAUGAAUAAUUUAAUAUUUAACUUGCAGUAUCAUUAAUGAAUUAUGGGAAUGAUCGGGAUUGGACAGGAAUUCCAUGAAUGGACGGCGACAGGGCCUUGGGCUCACAGCAAGUAGAGUACUGAGGGCCAGUGGGAGGGGAGGAGAGAUUCAAGUUUCCAGUUAUUAAGUCCCCGGAAAUGCUCUCCUGCUAGCCUGGCUUCUCCUAUCAAAAGUCUGUCAAUUCGAACCCUCUAGCAUCUAAACUGUCUGCGUCUAGCCUUCAAAAAUAUUUUGCUGUUUACUAACAA